ACGGGUGAGUAACACGUGAGUAACCUGCCCUUGACUCUGGGAUAAGCCUGGGAAACUGGGUCUAAUACCGGAUAUGACCUUCCAUCGCAUGGUGGUUGGUGGAAAGCUUUUGUGGUUUUGGAUGGACUCGCGGCCUAUCAGCUUGUUGGUGGGGUAAUGGCCUACCAAGGCGACGACGGGUAGCCGGCCUGAGAGGGUGACCGGCCACACUGGGACUGAGACACGGCCCAGACUCCUACGGGAGGCAGCAGUGGGGAAUAUUGCACAAUGGGCGCAAGCCUGAUGCAGCGACGCCGCGUGAGGGAUGACGGCCUUCGGGUUGUAAACCUCUUUCAGUAGGGAAGAAGCGUAAGUGACGGUACCUGCAGAAGAAGCGCCGGCUAACUACGUGCCAGCAGCCGCGGUAAUACGUAGGGCGCAAGCGUUAUCCGGAAUUAUUGGGCGUAAAGAGCUCGUAGGCGGUUUGUCGCGUCUGCCGUGAAAGUCCGGGGCUCAACUCCGGAUCUGCGGUGGGUACGGGCAGACUAGAGUGAUGUAGGGGAGACUGGAAUUCCUGGUGUAGCGGUGAAAUGCGCAGAUAUCAGGAGGAACACCGAUGGCGAAGGCAGGUCUCUGGGCAUUAACUGACGCUGAGGAGCGAAAGCAUGGGGAGCGAACAGGAUUAGAUACCCUGGUAGUCCAUGCCGUAAACGUUGGGCACUAGGUGUGGGGGACAUUCCACGUUUUCCGCGCCGUAGCUAACGCAUUAAGUGCCCCGCCUGGGGAGUACGGCCGCAAGGCUAAAACUCAAAGGAAUUGACGGGGGCCCGCACAAGCGGCGGAGCAUGCGGAUUAAUUCGAUGCAACGCGAAGAACCUUACCAAGGCUUGACAUGAACCGGAAAGACCUGGAAACAGGUCCCCCACUUGUGGUCGGUUUACAGGUGGUGCAUGGUUGUCGUCAGCUCGUGUCGUGAGAUGUUGGGUUAAGUCCCGCAACGAGCGCAACCCUCGUUCUAUGUUGCCAGCACGUGAUGGUGGGGACUCAUAGGAGACUGCCGGGGUCAACUCGGAGGAAGGUGGGGACGACGUCAAAUCAUCAUGCCCCUUAUGUCUUGGGCUUCACGCAUGCUACAAUGGCCGGUACAAAGGGUUGCGAUACUGUGAGGUGGAGCUAAUCCCAAAAAGCCGGUCUCAGUUCGGAUUGGGGUCUGCAACUCGACCCCAUGAAGUCGGAGUCGCUAGUAAUCGCAGAUCAGCAACGCUGCGGUGAAUACGUUCCCGGGCCUUGUACACACCGCCCGUCAAGUCACGAAAGUUGGUAACACCCGAAGCC
rnacentral:rRNA from 1 species